rnacentral:pre_miRNA from 1 species
UGGUUUUGUCUGAAGUCAAACUUUCUUAAGUUUGACCAAAUUUAUAUAAAAGAUUAUCAAUUUUUAUGAUACCAAAUAAACAUACUAUAAAAAUAUAUUUCAUCAUAAACUAAUGAUACUUAUUUGGUUUUAUAAAAAAUAGUAAUUUUUUGUAUAAAUUUGGUCAAACUUUAGAAAGUUUGACUUCAGACAAAACCAA